CCGCCCACAGAGGAGGGUACCCCGCCGGAAGCCCCCUGCUCUGUGGGAACCGGAGGGAGGACAGCGCGAGGUCCCCGGACAAAGCGUGGCGCAUAAGUCCGGCCCGUAACUUGGUGGGCAGGCAACUUAGGGGAUGUGGGCCUGGUUAUAGCUGAGCAUGCUUUUCUAUUCCUCCCAGACCACAGUUCUUCAGACCUGGAGCCACUUUCAGAGAAGAGUAUAAGUUGCACUGAAUUGAAAAAGGGAAAAGUUUAGGACUGCAGAAGAUGGAAUUCCUGGGGACGUUAAACUGGGCUAAGAUGGAGCAGAUAAGAUUUCCUUAAUUAGAGCAAGACACACCUAGUAUCUAGAGCCUGGAAGUCUUGGUCAAGGAUUCUCCCUAACAUCUCAGUUUCUCAGCACUAACAUUCCUGCUACUAAAAUGAAGUGAGAAAUUAAUUUCUGAAGUUAAGUAAAGAAAUAAACUAAAAUUCCUAGAAAAGAGGUAAGAAGAAUGAGCCUUUGAAAAAUGUCUUCACAAAGACUGGCAUGAUGGCAUGGAAGAAAGAGCCCCAGAUAUCCAGUAUACAUCUCAAGGUCAACUUGUCCAAAACAGAGCUACUGAUGAUUUUCCCCUUGAAAUCUACUCUUCCUACAGCUUAUUCAUCUCAAAUAACACAUUCACUCUCAUGGCUUCAACUAGGCGGAAUGUGACUGACCAACAGUGUGGCUCAUCCUUGUGGAGGAGAACAGAUGCCAAUUAAUUUGACAUGACCAUAUCCAACCCA
rnacentral:lncRNA from 1 species